AACCCGGUAGCGCUGAGAGAGCAGACUGUGGAGCACCAGCAGCGUCAGAGGUGGCUGUGCUGGGUUGGCAUUUAUGACAAUAUCACGGAGGGCACCCUGGUCCUACAGUACACAAGGUGAAGAUGGAUAUAAAUCCGGAAAUGUUCAACAGUAGUGGAGCGUUGUCCUGGUAUCCAUUGAACAGCUUUGCCGAUGUUACUAAAUGCAGAGAAGGCAGUUCAAUAGCAGGCUGUAGCCUGUAGAGAGCAGUGGUGCUGCAGUUUUCAGCUCAACCUGACGUAUUUACCUCCUCAAAUGUUAGGAUCUGCUCACCCUCUACUCCAAUUUUCCCAUCGCUGUCGUCAUCAGCAGCCUUCAGGAAGCCCUGGGUCUCUUUAUCUGUCAGGACACGAGCACCAGGAGAAAACCUCUGCAGGAAAAACCUGUCAGACGCAGAACAACACACGGAGCUGACCAUGUGGACACGAUAAAGCAGAAAAAAGCGGCAAUGGCGUCUCACUCACUUAAGCUCUUCCUCCUCGAUAAACCCACUGGCAUCAUUGUCCAGGAUCUCAAAGACCUUCUUCACAUCCUGAGAGCUCUUGUCGCUG